rnacentral:rRNA from 1 species
GACUGAGCGGCGGACGGGUGAGUAACGCGUGGGUAACCUGCCUCAUACAGGGGGAUAACAGUUAGAAAUGACUGCUAAUACCGCAUAAGCGCACAGUGCUGCAUGGCACAGUGUGAAAAACUCCGGUGGUAUGGGAUGGACCCGCGUUGGAUUAGGCAGUUGGCGGGGUAACGGCCCACCAAACCGACGAUCCAUAGCCGGCCUGAGAGGGUGGACGGCCACAUUGGGACUGAGACACGGCCCAAACUCC